CUACGGGGAUGAUUUUAGGAAUGGAACUCUCUCUCUCUGAUGGAUGAGUGGAGAAAAUGUAAGAAUUCUGAGUAGC